ACUUUAGUCAAUGUGUGGCGUGUAUCUUUGGGCAUAAAAACAUGCAUUGGGUAUAAACACAGGCAUUGACUAGAGUGGCUUCAGAGCUGUAACGCACCACAGACGUGUUCAGUACAAGGGGUCAAAACACAUACCGAAGCCACGAUCUACUCUGUUUGCCGUAGUCGUAAUGUGUCGCAGACGUGUGCAGUGUGUGAUACCGAGGAGGACUCUGAAUCAGACCCAGAACAUCUGAGAGCCUGCCAUAACUUCUUUCUGAAAUCCUUAGACACAUAAUAAAAGAUGAAAGGAUCGAUGCAGCUGUUGAAGGUGCUGAAAGACAAAGCGAUCUGAAGUACGGGAAUUAGGGGAGAGCGGGGAUGGAAGCUACAGUGAUGAUAUUCAUACUGCACACGCUUUAUUGGCCCCUCAUCCUUGGAGGAAAUCAGCCACAUGUAACCAUUCCUUCUACAAAAAAACAUUUUCAUGAUGCUGAGUAGGUAAGACUGGAGUGUCUGCUUCCCUGUUUACAUGGUUCUUUUCUGUAGCCUACUUCAUGUGGGUGUAGUUACGGUCGUUUGAAAUGAUAAUAAUCAUUAAAAAAAU